ensembl:lncRNA
CAAAGCUCAGCUGGUGGGGGUGAUCCAGAGGCACCGUCAACAGUACGCACUUGAUCCAGAGACAGUCACCAGAGCUGUGUUAGAAACUUCUAGGUACCUACUGGAGCUCAUCUUCAGGUGUGUAAGAAAUCAGAUGGAUGACAUCAAUUCAGGCAAUUGCAUUCUUCUGGAGUGACAUGUUAGGCGCCUACAUGCCUUUUUAAAUUUUCUCUUCAAUAUCUACAAUUUUUUGCAGGAAAUGUUUCAUGCUGGAUGUACACUGAGAAAGAAGUGCUGAAGUCACUUAAAGGACUGGGCAAACUCCCUAAACCUCCUGGUUUGGUCUGAUUGAAUGAGUUCUUGGGAAUAUAUGCCCUCAACUGGCCCCCUGAAAUCUGUGAAUCUGAAGUAUAAGGAGGGCUUAACAUAGUUACUGAGCAGACCUUAGGACUCCUUGAACAGCAGAAAUAUAAAUGCUAUUUCCUUCAACGAUAUGUAGAGUAUAUCUUGUUCUAUAUGCUGGGCCAGCCAGCACCUUAGGAGCAUAAUUUGACUUCCCUAGGCACUCCUGUGGAAGUCUCGGAGGAAGCAGUGGGCAGUGGAUAAUGCAGGGAUUGUGCUUUGGUAGAGGCCAAAGCUGGAGGGAAGAAGUUGGUGCACUGGACUAUCCCAUAUCCUACCAUAUACAGAUGAGCACCAUUGAGGCCAAAGACUGAACACAAUGGGAAAAUUGGUCUUCCAAUACCUUUUAUUUCCAGGAUGGGCAGAGGUACUUGGAACUUUGCACUAUGGCUUGCUGGUUUUACUUCCAGGCUUGGACUGGCAGAUACAAAGAUGGCAACAAUGGGACUGAAAAUAACAGGAAAAAAACAGCAGUUUGAAGGAGAACAAGGAGAUCCAGCUGAAGGAGAACUGGAGCUGAACACAGGUUUCCUACCUCUGGGGCAGGGUUCAUUGGGCAUCAUUGCACCACUACCAUCAGGGCUGGCUCCCUUGUCAAGCAGAGAACAAAAGGAUGUUGUAGGUCCCCUCUGAGUCCUAUACCUGGCUUGCUAAACCUGUAUUGUGAUGCUUUGUCAGGUAAAAUACAUAAUUUGGACAUAUUGUUUGAUGAUCUCACACUAGGAUUUCACACCACACUAUAGAUGAAAAUGUUGAUUGAGUUAUUUUUAACAGUCAUGAUAUUAGUUAAACCUGAUUAACAGAUUAUUUUCCACUGACAUCACUUCUUUAUUCUAUUUACAAGCUAAAUAAGCCAGACACUCAAUUGAUAAAUGCUCAUUUCCCUCCAUCUUAAUUAACCAAAUAUUCUUUUACUUAAACAAUCCCUCAUUUUUCCAUAGACACAGUAAUAGAUCCAUUAAAAGGGUCUAUCUGAUACCAGGGAUCUUUUAUUUAUGAGUACAAGUCCAAAUGGUUACUAUUUUUUAAUGUUUUUAUUUUCCUUGAUACUGUACACCAUGUAAUGGCUUUGGUCCAAACAGUAAUCACACGAUGGGUGCCGUUUCUUCUUUCUUGACCUAUCACACUCCACAUGAUUUAAUCCAUUGUUUUGGAUGUUGCCAAUGAUUUAUUGUAUGAAAAAUGUAAAUGAUCUGGAUGGCAGAUGUUUUAUAUUUUCUGACCAUUCAUUUUCAGUGGGAAUGUAAUUAAAAUUUAUGAAGUGUAUCUGCUGAAUUGCAUUGGCAAUUGAUGAUCUCCUCCAGUGCUGUCUGUCUGGAGAUGAUGAGUGAUUGUGGACAGUGAGAUGUGUUGACAAGGGCAGAAACAGACGUGAUGUUACUGUCAUGAGUGAGGCUACCUGCAAAAAGGCUGCUGGUUUUUUUCUCCCUUUUUUCCCACAGGAAGAAGGUGGCAACCAGAGCUGUCUUUCUUCUUGCAAGACAGAGUACAAAGCCUCUGAACACUCCUGAAAGCUGUCACUCUUCACAAGUGCCAUCUCUGUCUCUCCUAGCAAUGGGCAUCUGGAAGCCAUGAUACCAGUUAUAACAACCCAUGUCAAGGAUAUUAAUUAAAUUCCUGAUGGCCACCCAGAGAAGCUAAUGAGUGUAAAUUUCACAACAUCCCAACUCAUAAGGCAGCCCACUUAACCUUUUCAGUGUUGAUAUCGUUCUUCCAGGAGGGAAGUAAAGAAGUGAGCUGUUUGCUGAGGGAUCAUGUAAAGGAGAAACAGGGAAAGGAGGAGAUGCUUGGUCUGGCACAGUUUAAAAUACAAACAGAUCAGAACUGGAUCUGCUGGAUUCGGAUAUCCCACAACAGAAUAGGAAGGGGUUUUUUUUCAGAACUGAGAUCCUAGAUAGCAUUUUGCACAGAGCCCUUAUUGCUAUGAAUCUGAGUGGCUCUUCUCACCUCAGCUCCUUCCAGCUCCAUGAGCAAGAGAAGCAGCUCUUUUUUUAACCCCAGUGAGGUAUACUUACUGGACUUUGAAUUUCCCCUGCUCUUGACACUGCACACCUCUUACAUUUCUGAGUGCUGUGGAGGACAGAAUAUGUAAUUACUAUCAUCCCACCAUACAGUUACCUCUACAGUAAAUGUACAGACAGCCUAGAUUAACAGGUAGUGAAUCAUGUAAGUGCUAUGGGACCAACAACUGGAACUGGGGAAUUUCUGACACCCAUCUUUAUCAUCAGGGAUUUUGAUCACUUGAAUGUUCAAAGUGUUUUCUUAAUUCACAAACCUCAUUUAGGAUAUCUAACAUUAGGCACUAAUAAAAAUGCCUUCGCUCUAAAGUCA